AUUGAACGCUGGCGGCAUGCUUUACACAUGCAAGUCGAACGGUAACAGGCCUUCGGGUGCUGACGAGUGGCGAACGGGUGAGUAAUGCAUCGGAACGUGCCCAGAGGUGGGGGAUAACGCAGCGAAAGCUGUGCUAAUACCGCAUGUGAUCUGAGGAUGAAAGCGGGGGACCCAGCAGCAAUGUUUGGCCUCGCGCCUCUGGAGCGGCCGAUGUCAGAUUAGGUAGUUGGUGGGGUAAAGGCCUACCAAGCCGACGAUCUGUAGCUGGUCUGAGAGGACGACCAGCCACACUGGGACUGAGACACGGCCCAGACUCCUACGGGAGGCAGCAGUGGGGAAUUUUGGACAAUGGGCGCAAGCCUGAUCCAGCAAUGCCGCGUGCGGGAAGAAGGCCUUCGGGUUGUAAACCGCUUUUGUACGGAACGAAAAGGCUCUGGCUAAUACCUGGGGCUGAUGACGGUACCGUAAGAAUAAGCACCGGCUAACUACGUG
rnacentral:rRNA from 1 species